AAUAAAUAAAAAGUAUACAUAAGAAUCCCUAAAAUAAAUCUAAUACAAACUAAAAUUUGUAUACCUUCCAAUAAUAUGUUCUGAGUACAGCUGUUAACUGUUUAUUCUGUGUAAAUGGUGAUUGUGAUAAUGUGUGAAGUGUGCAGCUUAACUGGAGAGUGGUUUAAUUUAUAUGUUGCUGUAUUGUUUUAAAUUAUAUUUGAAUCAGUUUGUCUCAGUCUAGUGAUACUGAUAAAAAUGCCAGUCAAAUAACCCAGCAAAUAACUGUUUUAUUAGCUGUUGAAUACUAGCGUUUUGGCCAAGAGUAGUUCUAUGAGCUUAGAGAGGCUCUGUGUUGUGUUC